rnacentral:sRNA from 1 species
AUAUUUAAUCCUAAAUGCGCUUUCCAAAACAUUUUUUGUAUAAAUAAUUGCAAUUGGAUAAAUAGCAAAAUUAUUUUAAUAUUAUAUUAUAUAUAAUAAAUAUACGUUUUCCGAUAUAAUAGGUUGGUUUAAGUAAAUUAAAUACGAAAAUGCAAGCCGCCAAAAAAUAUAAAGUUUAUUAAUACGUGGUCGUAUCCGAUUGGUCGCGCAAAUGCAUUUGGUUGGCACUUAUAUUAUUAAUAUGGCAAACUGGGCGAAAACAGCAAAACAAAUAAAUUGCCGUAAUUCGAUAAAUUGCCAAAGGGGGAUAAAUGUACAUUUUCAAAUCGCGGUCAAAUUUAUCCCAAACACCUAAUAUUACCGGCGACCUACGCCCAAACAAAACCCAAAAACAUUGCAAACGGGCCUAAAAAUUUAUUUAAAUACUUUCCACAAUUUAUUUUUUAAUAUUAAUAUUAGCAAUAUUGCAAAUAUUAGGUUUCGAAGAUAUUGGAGCGGUAUUUGGGUUCGCCAGUUUUUUUAAUAUAAUAAUAACGUCGUUUAAUUAUAUUUUUAUAACGAAAAAAACGGCGACGCGAUUACAAUUAUUAUUGGUAUAAUUUAACAAUAUUUAAUUAAGGUUAACGCGCUGGGGAAAAACGGUCGGAAUCGCAAAUUUGGAAAUUUAAAAUGGAAAAUCAAUUACCAAAUUGGGCCCAAAAAUUUAUUUGUUCGAAAGGUUCGGAAAAAUUUCCGUCCGCCGCGCCGAAAUUCGUAUAAUUUUCGAAUAUUACGGUCCCAUACAGGCUGGGGCGUUUUCGCAACAGCGCGUUUUCGGAUAUUAUAUUAACCAGUUUUGGUACUGUAUUUUUAACGGCGUUACGUUUAAAAUACCGUAAUUUAUAUUUGUUGCUAAUCGGGUUUAUUAAAAACGGAACGUAAUCCACCUAAUAUCGAAUUGGAAAUAUAAAAAAUAAGGUGAAAAAAGGGUUAAAUAACAGAUUUUAUAUUUUUUUUUAUUUUGCUGCAAAAUUGCCCCAAUUGGAAAUUUGUCGGGGGUAAAUACGGCCGGUAAAAUUAGUUAUAUCGUUUUGGGUGGUCGGUAAAAAUUUGGAUAAUAAAAUUAAAUAAAUGGCAGGCGUUAAAAUAGGGUUUAAUUGUUAGCGGUUGUAAUACCCUAACGGUUUUUUCCGCCCUUUCGCGUGGAUAUUGCUUUUUUAGGGUAUGUUUCUCGGUUUUUUUAAUUCGGUGUUUGGCCUUUUCGAAUUGUUUACGGGGUUUUUUAAUGGAUAUUUGCAGCAAAUAAAGCGGGGUUUAAUUAUAUAAAUAACCUAUAUGGGGCCCUGGCUCUGCCUACGUAAAUAUUUUUAGAAAAACGCAAAUUAAACAUUUUACAAUUGUUUGAUAUAUAUUUUUAUUUUCCCAAUUCCAAAAUAAGGCCCAAUAUUCCGAUAUACGGUCCAUUAUAUAAAAGUAAAAAAGGGGUAUUAAGGCAAAUUUUAUUUUGGAUUAUAAAAUAAUGCAAAAUAUAAAAAUUCCCAUAUAAACCCAUUAAAAUUGCUAUAAUUAAUAAUCCAUUGGGGAAUUUUAAUAUAUUCGGUAUUAUUAACGAAUAAUUAAAACGGAAAAAAAAAAGAGAAAUUACAAUUUCCGACGCGUUGGAAAAACGCGUUUAAAUUUAAAAUUAAUGGAUCCCUUUGCGCGACCCAGGUUUGGCGUAAUUGGCGUAAUGGAAUAAUUUUAAAGGUAAUUUGGGACCUAAUUUUUGCAUAUAUCCAUUAUCCGUAUUUAUUAUAUUCAAAUAUUUUAUUGCAAUAAAACGUAAACGUUAAAAAUAUAUGGAAAAUAACAGCGUUUCCGAAAUCUUUAAAGUUCGUACCUGGCAAAUAUUAAAGGGGGUACGUAAACCAAAGAUCGAAGAAUGUAUUUCUGGGUUCGGUCCAAACCAAUUACAAUUGCUAUAUAAAACAGGAAUUAAAUGCGAUAAUAUAUUUACUAAUUCCAACCCUAUUUUUACCAGAAUUGGAAAAUUAGUUUGUAACCUCGAAAAAUUCGUGUUUUUUAUAAAUAAUUUAAAAAAUGCGCCUUAUAAAAUUAAAUUGUUAUAAAGUGGUUUGGAUGGAUUAAACCGUUUAGGAUUUGGAACAGGUGAAAAUAUUAACAGCGUUUACCGGGGAUAAAUUUGAACGGCAAUUAAAAUAAGGCGUACAGGUACUGUUAAAAUUGUGCAAAAUACAGGGCGUAUUUUAUAUUAACCACAACGUUAUAAAACAAAUACCCCAAUUCGAAAUUUGUCCUAAACCCCAUUUAUUAUAUUACCAAUAUAAAAAACUGCACCUGACGAGGUUAUAUUAUAGGUGGGGUCCACGACGAUUUGUUCCGCCCCCCAAUUAUUUAUUUUUUUGCUAUGGGGUAUUAUAUUGUAGCAAAAAACCCAUAUAUUAUAUAAUAGGAAACGGACGAUAUUACCACACCACCAAAAAAAAUCCGAAAAGUAAUUGCGGUUGAAUUUUUAUUAAAUCGGGAUAUAUUAAUAAACGCCCAAUAUUUUAAUAUGGGUUUCCCUAUCCGUUAAAUUUCCUCCCCCACUUUUAUUUUUCCCUGUUUUUUUUUAUAUUAUCGGUUUCUUUUUUCCUCGCGUUAUACGCACCGAUUUGGUGCGCAUUUUAAAUUAAAAAUAUUUUAUCCACCGGGACCUAUUUUUAAUAUAUUUUUAAAUUUUUAAAUACCAUUUUUUAUCCUUUAUAUUUAAUUUUCUCCACAUAACCCGACCAAUCCCUCUUUUUUAAUUUUGUUUAUUUUAUAAUUAAGGUUUGUAUAACCAAUUUUUGGCACCACGUUCUCCCUAACCCCUCGUGUAUCUCCUGCCGUUUUAUAUUUUUAUAUAUUGCACGAUUUGUUAACGCCGUAUCCCCUUUGCUAACCACCAAUAAGCAACCCACCCCCGCGCCCUCCCUGUCGAAGCCGAUACCGUACUUUCACUUUUCGACAAAUUUUGGAAUAAAAACGCCGACGGCCACCCUACGACAAGGCCGUAGGAAAUCCCAAUGCUUACACCACGGGCCUCGUCGGCCGCCACAACGUUAUCCUCAUCCACCUCGAAAACAUAGGCAACGUCGGUUCGGCCAGCGCGGCCGCCAGCGUCCGGACGAGCUUUCCGAACAUCAAACUCGGCCUUGUCGUCGGCGUCCUUUGCGUUAUUCCUUCCGGCUCCAAUAAAAACGAAUAGGUAUUUGGCGAUAUUAUUAUUAACGAAGCUGUUAUUCAAUACGAUUUUGGCCGCCAAUAUGCAAAUCGGUUCGUACGCAAAAAUAUAUUUUUUAAUAUGCAAGGCAAACCGAAUUAGGAAAUAUAUAACCUGUUGCAAAAAUUCAAAGGUCGGUUUCACCGGAAACAAUUCCAGGAACAAAUGGCCAAAUAUCUGGAAUUGUUACAAAAUGGAGACAGUCCAAAAUACAAAUAUUCCGGUAAGGAAAACGAUUUUUUUUCCCGCCAAAAUACCGCCACGUAAAUAACGACAAAAUAUGCAAAAUUUGCUGCGAUAUAUUAAAAAAGGUAAAACGUACCCGGUUUUAUCCAAAUGUCGCGAACCCCAUAUUUAUAAUGCAUUUCGGCAUCGUUAAAUUAGGCAAUAACGUUAUCAAAUCCAGCGAAAAUCGUUCCGUUUUUAUAACGCCAAAUGGGCUAAUAAAUUUCGAAAUGGAAAAAUCCGGAAUAUGGGAUAAUUUCCCAUAUAUAAUUAUUAAAAAUACGUGCAAUUAUAGGGAUAAUUAUAAAACCAAAAUAUGGCAGUUAUAUGCAGCAGCAACCGCCGCGGCGUACACGAAAACGUUUUUGCAUUAUUAGGCUCCUUUUUAACAAACAGGUUAAUAAGAUAUACGAUAAAAUAUAGCAUUUUUCCAUCCUUCGGUCCUUUAUAUAUAUUGGCUUUUGUUUUAAUCGGCUUUAAUUAUAAAAGUUUAUAUUAUUUAUUUAAAUUCGCCAUAUAUUAACCCUUAUUAUUUGCAAACCCUUUAAAAAUUAUAAAAACCGGCCCGUGGUAUUCCCAAUUAUAUAAAAACCGCAAUUUCAUCGGGCGAACCGAAUUUAUUAACAAUUUAACUGGCAAACGAUUUCUCGGUAAUAAUUAUACCCAUUAGCGCAUUGCAUUAUCUGGACUCGGCGGUGUCGGCAAAACGCAAUUGGCGCUCGAAAUAGCUUUUUGGGUCAAAAAUAAUAUACCAGGAUAAUCCGUUUUUUGGAUACAGGCCUUUAAUAUGGCAAAUUUCGAAAAGUCGUGCAAGGAAAUAACCAAAUUGCUAUUUCCAAAUUGGGUGGAACAAAACAAUGCGAAAAAACUGGUUAAAAAACAUUUCAAUUUUAUCGCGGCCGGCUAUUGGUUUUUCGUCGUCGAUAAUAUUAAUAAUAAGAUUUUAUUAGGCCGUGGGAAGGAGGGUAUACGUGAUUUUAUCCUUCGUUCGGAUAGGGGAAAGGUUUUAUUUAUUAUUCGAUAUCGGCGUAUCGCACACUAAUUUGCCCAAAACGAAAUAAUUAACUUUAAAUAAAUAAACCAGGACGAAACCAAAAAAUUGCUAAGCAAUUCCCUCGUUAUAAAACCUCCGGAAAACGCGGAGCAAAUUAUGUUCGAAUUCCUGGAAUUUUUAAUAUAUUUACCGUUAGCCAUUAUUUAGGCGGUAUUAUAUAUAAAUGUAACGACAACGUCGGUAUUCCAAUAUAUCCAUUUUUUAAAAAAUAUACCAGGCGAUAUAACGAAAUUGUUGGAAAUAAAGUGGGAAAACGACAGCAGGGACCCCAAACAAACGCAUGUUAUAAUAAAUAUUUGGGCGGUGUUAUUUGAACAAAUUCGGAAAAACCUGGGUAUUGCUAAAUUAUUUAAUUUUAUAGCAUAUAUUAAAUUUAAAAUAAUACCGCCGUUAAUAUUAUUAUUAAUUAGGUUAAAAUCGGAGCAAAAUAUGGCGUUCGGAGUUUUUUGUGGCUAUUUAUUCUUAACCAAACAGGGGAAUAAUACCACGUAUAAUAUAUAUUAUUUGGUACAUUUCGUUUUAUUAAUAUGGGUAAAAAGGCAAAAAAAUGCCAGGGAGCAGAGGCAAGAUAUGCUGGUUUAUUUUCAAAAUAUUUUUUUAAUAAACAAAUGGGAAAAACGUGAAAAAUAGCGACAAAUUUUGCCCCAUAUAUUGGAAACGAUUCGAUUUAACGGAGGAAAUAAAAACAAUUGGUAUAAAAAAAGCAAUUUAAAAUAUUAGGCUGGCAAAUAUUUAACGGUUGACGGUUAAAUAAAAAAGGUCGUUAAGUUUUUGGGAUACGUGGUGAAAAUUCGAAAAACGACGUUGGCGAAAGACCACCCGGAUUAAUUAAUAUCGCAAUACGCAUUUGUUGGAACAUAUCGAACCAACGGUCAAAUAAAACAGGCCGUUAAAAUUUUGGAAUACGUGGUAAAUGUUAAAAAAA